CAGCAGCCACGGGAAUACGUAGGGUGCGAGCGUUAAUCGGAAUUACUGGGCGUAAAGCGUGCGCAGGCGGUGCUGCAAGACCGAUGUGAAAGCCCCGGGCUUAACCUGGGAACUGCAUUGGUGACUGCAGCGCUGGAGUAUGGCAGAGGGGGGUGGAAUUCCACGUGUAGCAGUGAAAUGCGUAGAGAUGUGGAGGAACACCGAUGGCGAAGGCAGCCCCCUGGGCCAAUACUGACGCUCAUGCACGAAAGCGUGGGGAGCAAACAGGAUUAGAUACCCCAGUAGUCCCUGUCUCUUAUAC
rnacentral:rRNA from 1 species